GUAGGGAAUCUUCCACAAUGGGCGCAAGCCUGAUGGAGCAACACCGCGUGAGUGAAGAAGGGUUUCGGCUCGUAAAGCUCUGUUGUUAAAGAAGAACACGUAUGAGAGCAACUGUUCAUACGUUGACGGUAUUUAACCAGAAAGUCACGGCUAACUACGUGCCAGCAGCCGCGGUAAUACGUAGGUGGCAAGCGUUAUCCGGAUUUAUUGGGCGUAAAGAGAGUGCAGGCGGUUUUCUAAGUCUGAUGUGAAAGCCUUCGGCUUAACCGGAGAAGUGCAUCGGAAACUGGAUAACUUGAGUGCAGAAGAGGGUAGUGGAACUCCAUGUGUAGCGGUGGAAUGCGUAGAUAUAUGGAAGAACACCAGUGGCGAAGGCGGCUACCUGGUCUGCAACUGACGCUGAGACUCGAAAGCAUGGGUAGCGAACAGGAUUAGAUACCCGUGUAGUCC
rnacentral:rRNA from 1 species